rnacentral:rRNA from 1 species
AGUGAACGCUGGCGGUAGGCCUAACACAUGCAAGUCGAACGGCAGCACGGUAAGAGCUUGCUCUUACGGGUGGCGAGUGGCGGACGGGUGAGGAAUACAUCGGAAUCUACUUUUUCGUGGGGGAUAACGUAGGGAAACUUACGCUAAUACCGCAUACGACCUACGGGUGAAAGCAGGGGAUCUUCGGACCUUGCGCGAUUGAAUGAGCCGAUGUCGGAUUAGCUAGUUGGCGGGGUAAAGGCCCACCAAGGCGACGAUCCGUAGCUGGUCUGAGAGGAUGAUCAGCCACACUGGAACUGAGACACGGUCCAGACUCCUACGGGAGGCAGCAGUGGGGAAUAUUGGACAAUGGGCGCAAGCCUGAUCCAGCCAUACCGCGUGGGUGAAGAAGGCCUUCGGGUUGUAAAGCCCUUUUGUUGGGAAAGAAAAGCAGCAGGUUAAUACCCCGCUAUUCUGACGGUACCCAAAGAAUAAGCACCGGCUAACUUCGUG